UACAGAGGGGGCAAGCGUUGUUCGGAAUUACUGGGCGUAAAGGGCGCGUAGGCGGCCUGCUAAGUCGAACGUGAAAUCCCCGGGCUCAACCCGGGAACUGCGUCCGAUACUGGAUGGCUUGAAUCCGGGAGAGGGAUGCAGAAUUCCAGGUGUAGCGGUGAAAUGCGUAGAUAUCUGGAGGAAUACCGGUGGCGAAGGCGGCAUCCUGGACCGGCAUUGACGCUGAGGAGCGAAAGCCAGGGGAGCAAAGCGGG
rnacentral:rRNA from 1 species